rnacentral:rRNA from 1 species
UACAUGCAAGUCGAGCGAACAGAUAAGGAGCUYGCUCCUUUGACGUUAGCGGCGGACGGGUGAGUAACACGUGGAUAACCUACCUAUAAGACUGGGAUAACUUCGGGAAACCGGAGCUAAUACCGGAUAAGAUUUUGAACCGCAUGGUUCAAUAGUGAAAGACGGCCUUGCUGUCACUUAUAGAUGGAUCCGCGCCGUAUUAGCUAGUUGGUAAGGUAACGGCUUACCAAGGCAACGAUACGUAGCCGACCUGAGAGGGUGAUCGGCCACACUGGAACUGAGACACGGUCCAGACUCCUACGGGAGGCAGCAGUAGGGAAUCUUCCGCAAUGGGCGAAAGCCUGACGGAGCAACGCCGCGUGAGUGAUGAAGGUCUUCGGAUCGUAAAACUCUGUUAUCAGGGAAGAACAAACGUGUAAGUAACUGUGCACGUCUUGACGGUACCUGAUCAGAAAGCCACGGCUAACUACGUGCCAGCAGCCGCGGUAAUACGUAGGUGGCAAGCGUUAUCCGGAAUUAUUGGGCGUAAAGCGCGCGUAGGCGGUUUUUUAAGUCUGAUGUGAAAGCCCACGGCUCAACCGUGGAGGGUCAUUGGAAACUGGAAAACUUGAGUGCAGAAGAGGAAAGUGGAAUUCCAUGUGUAGCGGUGAGAUGCGCAGAGAUAUGGAGGAACACCAGUGGCGAAGGCGACUUUCUGGUCUGUAACUGACGCUGAUGUGCGAAAGCGUGGGGAUCAAACAGGAUUAGAUACCCUGGUAGUCCACGCCGUAAACGAUGAGUGCUAAGUGUUAGGGGUUUCCGCCCCUUAGUGCUGCAGCUAACGCAUUAAGCACUCCGCCUGGGGAGUACGACCGCAGGUUGAACUCAAGGAAUUGACGGGGACCCGCACAGCGGUGGAGCAUGUGGUUUA